rnacentral:rRNA from 1 species
CCUACGGGAGGCAGCAGUGAGGAAUAUUGGUCAAUGGACGAUAGUCUGAACCAGCCAAGUAGCGUGAAGGAUGACUGCCCUAUGGGUUGUAAACUUCUUUUAUAUGGGAAUAAAAUGUUCCACGUGUGGGAUUUUGUAUGUACCAUAUGAAUAAGGAUCGGCUAACUCCGUGCCAGCAGCCGCGGUAAUACGGAGGAUCCGAGCGUUAUCCGGAUUUAUUGGGUUUAAAGGGAGCGUAGGUGGAUUGUUAAGUCAGUUGUGAAAGUUUGCGGCUCAACCGUAAAAUUGCAGUUGAAACUGGCAGUCUUGAGGACAGUAGAGGUGGGCGGAAGUCGUGGUGUAGCGGUGAAAUGCUUAGAUAUCACGAAGAACUCCGAUUGCGAAGGCAGUUCACUGGACUGCAACUGACACUGAGGCUCGAAAGUGUGGAUAUCAAACAGGAUUAGAUACCCUAGUAGUC